GAUUCUGAUUCUCCCAUUCACCUCUCUCCUCCCUCUUCUCCCACAUCUGUGCAAAUACCUUUUUCUGUCACUGUCCCAACUGCUUCAGCCUUCCCUUCUCCUUUCAAUCCUGCCAGCUCACCUCCUGUUUUAGCUUUUUCUCCCUCUAUUCCUGCUCCCAGAAAGUCUCAAAGACAGCAUAAUCCUCCUUCCUAUCUUAA
rnacentral:lncRNA from 1 species